rnacentral:rRNA from 1 species
UCUUACGAUCCCUUCGGGGUGACGAGUUAUUGACUGAGUGGCGGACGGGUGAGUAACGCGUGGGUAACCUACCUUGUACAGGGGGACAACAGUUGGAAACGACUGCUAAUACCGCAUAAGCGCACAGCAUCGCAUGAUGCAGUGUGAAAAGUUUUUUCGGUACAAGAUGGACCCGCGUCUGAUUAGCUAGUUGGUGAGGUAACGGCCCACCAAGGCGACGAUCAGUANCCGACCUGAGAGGGUGACCGGCCACAUUGGGACUGAGACACGGCCCAAACUCCUACGGGAGGCAGCAGUGGGGAAUAUUGCACAAUGGGCGCAAGCCUGAUGCAGCGACGCCGCGUGAGCGAAGAAGUAUUUCGGUAUGUAAAGCUCUAUCAGCAGGGAAGAUAAUGACGGUACCUGACUAAGAAGCACCGGCUAAAUACGUGCCAGCAGCCGCGGUAAUACGUAUGGUGCAAGCGUUAUCCGGAUUUACUGGGUGUAAAGGGAGCGUAGGCGGUUUUACAAGUCUGAUGUGAAAGCCCGGGGCUCAACUCCGGUAUUGCAUUGGAAACUGUAGAACUAGAGUGUCGGAGGGGUAAGUGGAAUUCCUAGUGUAGCGGUGAAAUGCGUAGAUAUUAGGAGGAACACCAGUGGCGAAGGCGGCUUACUGGACGAUUACUGA